AGACAGCAGCCGCCGCGGAAUACGUAGGCGGCGAGCGUUGUCCGGAAUUAUUGGGCGUAAAGGGCUCGCAGGCGGUUUCUUAAGUCUGAUGUGAAAGCCCCCGGCUCAACCGGGGAGGGUCAUUGGAAACUGGGAAACUUGAGUGCAGAAGAGGAGAGUGGAAUUCCACGUGUAGCGGUGAAAUGCGUAGAGAUGUGGAGGAACACCAGUGGCGAAGGCGACUCUCUGGUCUGUAACUGACGCUGAGGAGCGAAAGCGUGGGGAGCGGACAGGUUUAGAUACCCCAGUAGUCCCUGUCUCUUAUACA
rnacentral:rRNA from 1 species